rnacentral:rRNA from 1 species
GUGCCAGCAGCCGCGGUAAGACGAACCGUGCGAACGUUAUUCGGAUUCACUGGGCUUAAAGGGCGCGUAGGCGGGCUCGCCAGUCCGGGGUGAAAUCUUUCGGCUUAACCGGAAAAGUGCCUCGGAUACUGCGAGCCUUGAGGGAGGUAGGGGCAUGUGGAACUUCCGGUGGAGCGGUGAAAUGCGUUGAUAUCGGAAGGAACGCCGGUGGCGAAAGCGACGUGCUGGCCCUCUUCUGACGCUGAGGCGCGAAAGCCAGGGGAGCAAACGGGAUUAGAUACCCCUGUAGUCC